rnacentral:rRNA from 1 species
AUUGAACGCUGGCGGCAUGCCUUACACAUGCAAGUCGAACGUGAAAGGGGGGCAACCCCCGAGUAGAGUGGCGGACGGGUGAGUAAUACAUCGGAACGUGCCCAGUAGUGGGGGACAACCUCGAGAAAUCGAGGCUAAUACCGCAUACGACCUACGGGUGAAAGCGGGGGACCGCAAGGCCUCGCGCUAUUGGAGCGGCCGAUGUCCGAUUAGCUAGUUGGUAGGGUAAAAGCCUACCAAGGCAACGAUCGGUAGCUGGUCUGAGAGGACGACCAGCCACACUGGGACUGAGACACGGCCCAGACUCCUACGGGAGGCAGCAGUGGGGAAUUUUGGACAAUGGGGGCAACCCUGAUCCAGCCAUGCCGCGUGCGGGAAGAAGGCCUUCGGGUUGUAAACCGCUUUCGGCCGGAACGAAAUCGCCGGGGAGAACAUCUCCGGUGGAUGACGGUACCGGAAGAAGAAGCACCGGCUAACUACGUGCCGGCAGCCGCGGUAAUACGUAGGGUGCGAGCGUUAAUCGGAAUUACUGGGCGUAAAGCGUGCGCAGGUGGUUCGCUAAGACAGAUGUGAAAUCCCCGGGCUCAACCUGGGAACUGCGUUUGUGACUGGCGGGCUAGAGUGCGGAAGAGGGAGGUGGAAUUCCACGUGU